AGUGAACGCUGGCGGCGUGCUUAACACAUGCAAGUCGAACGAGAACGGGAUAUAGCUUGCUAUAUUUGUCAGCUAAGUGGCGCACGGGUGAGUAAUGUAUAGAUAACCUGCCUUCUAGAAAGGAAUAACAGUUGGAAACGACUGCUAAUGCCCUAUAUGCCUUUAAUACAUAAGUAUGCAAGGGAAACGCUUUAGUGCUAGAGGAUGGGUCUGUAUGGUAUCAGCUUGUUGGUGAGGUAAUGGCUCACCAAGGCUAUGACGCCUAACUGGUUUGAGAGGAUGAUCAGUCACACUGGAACUGAGACACGGUCCAGACUCCUACGGGAGGCAGCAGUGGGGAAUAUUGCACAAUGGACGAAAGUCUGAUGCAGCAACGCCGCGUGGAGGAUGACACAUUUCGGUGCGUAAACUCCUUUUAUAUAGGAAGAUAAUGACGGUACUAUAUGAAUAAGCACCGGCUAACUCCAUGCCAGCCGCCGCCGUAA
rnacentral:rRNA from 1 species